CCUACGGGUGGCAGCAGUGAGGAAUAUUGGUCAAUGGACGAGAGUCUGAACCAGCCAAGUAGCGUGAAGGAUGACUGCCCUAUGGGUUGUAAACUUCUUUUAUAUGGGAAUAAAAUGUUCCACGUGUGGGAUUUUGUAUGUACCAUAUGAAUAAGGAUCGGCUAACUCCGUGCCAGCAGCCGCGGUAAUACGGAGGAUCCGAGCGUUAUCCGGAUUUAUUGGGUUUAAAGGGAGCGUAGAUGGGUUGUUAAGUCAGUUGUGAAAGUUUGCGGCUCAACCGUAAAAUUGCAAUUGAUACUGGCAGCCUUGAGUACAGUUGAGGUAGGCGGAAUUCGUGGUGUAGCGGUGAAAUGCUUAGAUAUCACGAAGAACUCCGAUUGCGAAGGCAGCUCACUAAACUGCCACUGACAUUGAUGCUCGAAAGUGUGGGUAUCAAACAGGAUUAGAUACCCCGGUAGUC
rnacentral:rRNA from 1 species